AGGUUUGAAUGGAUGAAUUAGUGUUUAAUUCAGUUUUGCUGUAGAGUCGAGGUUAAAUUUGUGCCAGCAGCCGCGGUUAGACUGGUACGGCUAGUGGAAGGGGUUAGGUUGAUAGUUAAGUAAUUUGGUGAGGUUAAGAGUGAGCUAUGUAUGUUAGGAGGUGAAAUUCGGUUAGUAUAAGUUUUCUUUUUCCUUUACUGUAGCUGAGGCUAUAAAGGUUUAAGUUUAAAAUAGGAUUAGAUACCCUAGUAUGUUUUAUUGGAAUUUAAAUGCCUGAUUAGUAUUAGUUAUGUUCUUGAAAUUUAAAGAAUUUGGCGGCACUUUAGCCCGGUUAGAGGAACCUGUCUUUUAAACGAUAAUCCACGAAAUAUCUUGCUUUUCUUUGUGUCUCAGCAUGUAUACCGUCAUUAAUUUAAACGAUUUAGAGAGAAAUUAGUUGAGAAGAGCUUUAAGUUCAUUAGAUUAGAUCAAGGUGCAGCUUAUGGGGAAGUAAAGAUGGGUUACAAUAAUUUUAAAUUAAACGGAUUAGCAGGGUAAGAUUUUGCUUAUGAAGGGGGAUUUAACAGUAAGCGUGGAAUAAUAUGUCUCGUUGAUGGAGGUUCUGGAGUGUGCACACAUCGCCCGUCGCUCUCAUAAUAAACAUGAGAUAAGUCGUAACAGAGUAGGUGUACUGGAAAGUGUACCUGGGAUUAAUA
rnacentral:rRNA from 1 species